UUACGGCCAUAUCACGUUGAAACACCGGUUCCCGUUCGAUCACCGAAGUUAAGUAACGUCGGGCCUGGUGGGUACCUAGAGGGGUGACUACUUGGAAAUACCAGGUGCUAUAA